rnacentral:RNase_P_RNA from 1 species
GACUACGCGGCAGCGGAAACGUUUUAGUUUAUGAGGAAAGUCCGGGCAUCACAGAGCAGGGUAGCUGAUAACGUCAGCCGAGGGCGACCUUGCAAGAUGUCCAAUAGAUUUCGAGAUAAAAUACUGUUUUUCAAGGCGGACGACGCAGGCGUGCUUUCGCACGGCAAGAAGGAGAACGCAGAAAAACGGAAUUUUAGCCGAAAGAUGUGGAUAGCUUGCAGCAGGGUCAAGUAUAGCGGUAAGGGUGGAAAGGCGAGGCAAGAGCUCACCGGAGUGUGGGAGACCGCACUGCCAUGUAAACCCUACCCGAUGCAACGUCUAUUGGUACUGCGUAUCUCAACGUCGGCUCGGCGGAUACGGAGUAAUGACGGCUUGAGCUCAUCGGCGACGAUGAGCGUAGAUAAAUUGCCGCGCACGACAGAACCCGGCUUAUCGGUCUGGU